UACGUAGGGGGCAAGCGUUGUCCGGAAUGACUGGGCGUAAAGGGAGCGUAGGCGGCUUCUUAAGUUAUGUGUGAAAGCCCGGGGCUUAACUCCGGAAUUGCACAUAAAACUGGGAGGCUGGAGUGCGGGAGAGGAAAGCGGAAUUCCUAGUGUAGCGGUGGAAUGCGUAGAUAUUAGGAGGAACACCAGAGGCGAAGGCGGCUUUCUGGACCGUAACUGACGCUGAGGCUCGAAAGCGUGGGGAGCAAAC
rnacentral:rRNA from 1 species